UCGUCGCGUUGUCAACAAAACUGGUAUAUUCAACAGAAGGAAUUAUAACGGAAAUAUAUAAAACAAUAACACCUGCUACAGUGGUGUGUGUGCAGAUACUAUAUACUAUGACGUGUAUCUGCAAGUACUGAAAUCGCUCUUUUUUGUAGAAAAAAAACACAACAACAAAACAAAAUCUCAUACGAAAACUUUUAGUCUGCCGUGACUGUCAGUCAGUUAGCCAGUGCGACAGUCCUUUAUCCGGUGAUCGUCUUCUGACAGCUUAUCAGGUGUAUGUCAUGACAUUUUUCAAGAAAAACUGUUGAAGGAGUUGUAGUUUUACUAACUUUAGCUGAUGUUUUCUGUGGGAGCCAGUGGCUGACAAGGGUAUCAACAUUAAACUGAAAACAUGAGCUGCAGCAUGAACAAUGCAUAUUAAAGUAAAAAAAAAAAGUGAAACCACUGCCACUAACAUAAAAAAUCAAAUACAAAAUAGAAGUAGCAAAUAAUAUUGCAAGCAAUAAUCACUGAAGGAGGCGCACGGAGUCAAUUUCGAACAAAUUCAAUCAAUAACCACUUGAACAAAACUUCCGCCAGUCGCGGCUGGCCUGAGUUAUUGCGGUAAGGCAACGGAGACGAGCGGGUGAAAUCAAACGAGUGCCGUUAAAUAUUUAUAAAGUGAGACAGAGCAAUCAUACAAUACUUGUAUAGUAAUUUCGCACACAACUAGAAUCGUCAUCUACUGCUGCACCGAACUGUUGUCUCUGCUGCUGUUGUUGUUGAUGCAGUAGGUACAACAUUGUGGCAAUAGCAAUGCAUCAACAACUGACUCUUGAAAAUAUAUAGGUGCACACAAACAUAUAUUUUGAACUUUCGAACUUUUGCUCUCUCACCAGACCGGCUCCGUCUUCGAAAAAUCUGAAAUAAACCAGACAAUUCGCAUUUGCUGUGGGUACAAUUGUGAGGAGAAAUAUGAAUUUCAAAUACAUAUAAGCCUACAAUUAUGUAAAAUUUUAGAUUUAUUCAAAUCGGUAAAAAGUAACGCACAUUAAGGCUCAAAUUUAAAUUAUGUAUCGCUGUAUUUUUCAUUUUUAAUAAAGGCAAUAAUUGUACAGAAAUGUGCUUAAUAUGUUAUUGAAUGAAAUAAAAACGUACACUUUGCUUCAACUUUAAACGUACGAAUGAAAUAUGUAAAAUGAAAUUAAUCAAGCAUUUCCAAAUAAAGUGAAAUUCGAUUGA